rnacentral:rRNA from 1 species
UAACGGGAUUAGAUACCCUGGUAGUCCACGCCGUAAACGAUGUCGACUUGGAGGUUGUGCCCUUGAGGCGUGGCUUCCGGAGCUAACGCGUUAAGUCGACCGCCUGGGGAGUACGGCCGCAAGGUUAAAACUCAAAUGAAUUGACGGGGGCCCGCACAAGCGGUGGAGCAUGUGGUUUAAUUCGAUGCAACGCGAAGAACCUUACCUGGUCUUGACAUCCACAGAACUUGGCAGAGAUGCCUUGGUGCCUUCGGGAACUGUGAGACAGGUGCUGCAUGGCUGUCGUCAGCUCGUGUUGUGAAAUGUUGGGUUAAGUCCCGCAACGAGCGCAACCCUUAUCCUUUGUUGCCAGCGGUCCGGCCGGGAACUCAAAGGAGACUGCCAGUGAUAAACUGGAGGAAGGUGGGGAUGACGUCAAGUCAUCAUGGCCCUUACGACCAGGGCUACACACGUGCUACAAUGGCGCAUACAAAGAGAAGCAAACUCGCGAGAGCAAGCGGACCUCAUAAAGUGCGUCGUAGUCCGGAUUGGAGUCUGCAACUCGACUCCAUGAAGUCGGAAUCGCUAGUAAUCGUGAAUCAGAAUGUCACGGUGAAUACGUUCCCGGGCCUUGUACACACCGCCCGUCACACCAUGGGAGUGGGUUGCAAAAGAAGUAGGUAGCUUAACCUUCGGGAGGGCGCUUACCACUUUGUGAUUCAUGACUGGGGUGAAGUCGUAACAAGGUAACCAA